GACGAACGCUGGCGGCGUGCUUAACACAUGCAAGUCGAACGGAAAGGCCCUGCUUUUGUGGGGUGCUCGAGUGGCGAACGGGUGAGUAACACGUGAGUAACCUGCCCUUGACUUUGGGAUAACUUCAGGAAACUGGGGCUAAUACCGGAUAGGAGCUCCUGCUGCAUGGUGGGGGUUGGAAAGUUUCGGCGGUUGGGGAUGGACUCGCGGCUUAUCAGCUUGUUGGUGGGGUAGUGGCUUACCAAGGCUUUGACGGGUAGCCGGCCUGAGAGGGUGACCGGCCACAUUGGGACUGAGAUACGGCCCAGACUCCUACGGGAGGCAGCAGUGGGGAAUAUUGCACAAUGGGCGGAAGCCUGAUGCAGCAACGCCGCGUGCGGGAUGACGGCCUUCGGGUUGUAAACCGCUUUCGCCUGUGACGAAGCGUGAGUGACGGUAAUGGGUAAAGAAGCACCGGCUAACUACGUGCCGGCAGCCGCGGUGAUACGUAGGGUGCGAGCGUUGUCCGGAUUUAUUGGGCGUAAAGGGCUCGUAGGUGGUUGAUCGCGUCGGAAGUGUAAUCUUGGGGCUUAACCCUGAGCGUGCUUUCGAUACGGGUUGACUUGAGGAAGGUAGGGGAGAAUGGAAUUCCUGGUGGAGCGGUGGAAUGCGCAGAUAUCAGGAGGAACACCAGUGGCGAAGGCGGUUCUCUGGGCCUUUCCUGACGCUGAGGAGCGAAAGCGUGGGGAGCGAACAGGCUUAGAUACCCUGGUAGUCCACGCUGUAAACGGUGGGUACCAGGUGUGGGGUCCAUUCCACGGGUUCCGUGCCGUAGCUAACGCUUUAAGUACCCCGCCUGGGGAGUACGGCCGCAAGGCUAAAACUCAAAGGAAUUGACGGGGCCCCGCACAAGCGGCGGAGCAUGCGGAUUAAUUCGAUGCAACGCGUAGAACCUUACCUGGGUUUGACAUGGAUCGGGAGCGCUCAGAGAUGGGUGUGCCUCUUUUGGGGUCGGUUCACAGGUGGUGCAUGGCUGUCGUCAGCUCGUGUCGUGAGAUGUUGGGUUAAGUCCCGCAACGAGCGCAACCCUUGUUCACUGUUGCCAGCACGUUAUGGUGGGGACUCAGUGGAGACCGCCGGGGUCAACUCGGAGGAAGGUGGGGAUGACGUCAAGUCACCAUGCCCCUUAUGUCCAGGGCUUCACGCAUGCUACAAUGGCUGGUACAGAGAGUGGCGAGCCUGUGAGGGUGAGCGAAUCUCGGAAAGCCGGUCUCAGUUCGGAUUGGGGUCUGCAACUCGACCUCAUGAAGUCGGAGUCGCUAGUAAUCGCAGAUCAGCAACGCUGCGGUGAAUACGUUCCCGGG
rnacentral:rRNA from 1 species